UACGAAGGGGGCUAGCGUUGCUCGGAAUCACUGGGCGUAAAGGGUGCGUAGGCGGGUCUUUAAGUCAGGGGUGAAAUCCUGGAGCUCAACUCCAGAACUGCCUUUGAUACUGAGGAUCUUGAGUUCGGGAGAGGGUGAGUGGAACUGCGAGUGUAGAGGUGAAAUUCGUAGAUAUUCGCAAGAACACCAGUGGCGAAGGCGGCUCACUGGCCCGAUACUGACGGCUGAGGCACGGAAAGCGAUGGGGGAGCAAACAGGG
rnacentral:rRNA from 1 species